CAACAGUCCCAUGCUAAAGACUGUGAUCAGCCAGUCUCUCUUACAUUGUGGUGAUCUCUCUUAAAUGUAUAUCAGCUAUUCUGCUUCAGUUUGCAGGGCUUCAAAAAAGGGACCGCUUUAGUUCUCAAAAAGGGCGGAGAGGAGCUACUCCACGUUCAAGGUCAGGAGGGGUGACCUCAUCCAAGGUAAGGAGCAGUGGCUGGGCUUUGCUGGAGCAGCUGUGAAAAGAUACCCCAAGUCCAAGGACCCAGCAAACAUUUGCUUUUCCACCUCCAAAUGAAUCGUCUUCCUCAACUGUGAGGAAACCACUAGCCACAAUAUCCUCUUUCAUCUUCAGGUGACGAUAUUUGAGAUGAGGACUUUGGCCACUUUGGUUAUACUCUGUUCAUAGAAUCCAUCAGAAUCUGUUAGGUUCAGCUCGAUAUAAAGAACUCUUUAUCAAGAUGUGGUUCAUAUAUACAAUGGAAUACUACUCAGCUAUAAAAAAUAAAAUAAUGUCACUCAUAGCAACAUGGCUGGACCUGGAGACUAUCAUAGUAAGUGAAAAUGCAGACGUGAUAGCGCCAACAGCCCUGUCUUAUACAAUGGGGUAAAUUUAAGGAUGGGAUCUCUGCUCAGAGGAUGACAGGGCAGAAAAAUGCUUGGAGUCAGAAUCUCCAGUGAUGUGGAGACAUCAUGCCAACCCUGGACUGCCAGCCCCUCUGCUAUUUUAUGUAUGGAAAAAAUAAAC
ensembl:lncRNA